GCGCCCAUAGCUCAAUUGGAUAGAGUGCCUGGCUUCGAACCAGUAGGUUGGGGGUUCGAGCCCCUCUGGGCGUACCA
rnacentral:tRNA from 8 species